GAAGUGAUCCCCCAAAGAGACCUCCAGACUCUACCAUGAGUGUCUCCAGCUGAACUCAUCGUGUCUAAUCCUCACCCUAGCUUAUCCUGUUCAAAUCAUUUCCAUCUUUUUCUGGAUGAACCUGGGCGGAUGUCAGACCAGAGAAGAGCACAGAAUGUACCAGAGAGAGUGAGACUCCGUCUCAAAAAAAAAAACAGAAUAUAAGGUGAAGGCCAAGCAGGGUGGCACAUACCUGUUGUCUCACCUACUCAAAAGGCUGAGGCCAGAGGAGGAUUGCUGGAAGUGAGUUCAAAGCCAGCCUAGAGAAUAUAUUGAGACUCUGUCUCUAAAUUUUAUAUAUAUAUGGUGAAUUCACCUUUACCAUGUCUUUUAUGUAUAAGCAAUGGGAUUGAUUAGCAAGUAAUGGGACUCUGAAAUCAAAGGGGUAAAUUUGGGUAAAUCUUUAUAAAUAUAAUAACCUUGAACCCCA
rnacentral:sRNA from 1 species